AUGGGGUGCNNNNGGGGCGAAACCUUUACACUGCACGACAGUGCGAUAGGGGGAUCCCAAGUGCACAGGCAUAGCGCCUGUGCUUUUCNNUACCCUAAGGCGGUACCAGAAUAAGGGCUAGGCAAGACCGGUGCCAGCCGCCGCGGUAAUACCGGCAGCCCAAGUGAUGGCCGAUCUUAUUGGGCCUAAAGCGUCCGUAGCUGGCCGCGCAAGUCCAUCGGGAAAUCCACCUGCUCAACAGGUGGGCGCCCGGUAGAAACUGCGUGGCUUGGGACCGGAAGGCGCGACGGGUACGUCCGGGGUAGGAGUGAAAUCCCGUAAUCCUGGACGGACCGCCGAUGGCGAAAGCACGUCGCGAGAACGGAUCCGACAGUGAGGGACGAAAGCCAGGGUCUCGAACCGGAUUAGAUACCCGGGUAGUCCUGGCCGUAAACAAUGUCUGCUAGGUGUGGCUCCCACUACGAGUGGGUGCUGUGCCGUAGGGAAGCCGCUAAGCAGACCGCCUGGGAAGUACGUCCGCAAGGAUGAAACUUAAAGGAAUUGGCGGGGGAGCAC
rnacentral:rRNA from 1 species